rnacentral:ncRNA from 1 species
UAUCUGGUUGAUCCUGCCAGUAGUCAUAUGCUUGUCUCAAAGAUUAACCCAUGCAUGUCUAAGUAUAAGCACUUGUACUGUGAAACUGCGAAUGGCUCAUUAAAUCAGUUAUCGUUUAUUUGAUUGUACCUUUACUACUUGGAUAACCGUGGUAAUUCUAGAGCUAAUACAUGCGAAAAGUCCCGACUUCUGGAAGGGAUGUAUUUAUUAGAUUCAAAACCAAUGCGGGUUCUGCCCGGUCAUUUGGUGAUUCAUAGUAACUGUUCGAAUCGCAG